GAUGAACGCUGGCGGCGUGCCUAAUACAUGCAAGUCGAGCGAACGGACGAGAAGCUUGCUUCUCUGAUGUUAGCGGCGGACGGGCGAGUAACACGUGGAUAACCUACCUAUAAGACUGGGAUAACUUCGGGAAACCGUAGCUAAUACCGGAUAAUAUUUUGAACCGCAUGGUUCAAAAGUGAAAGACGGUCUUGCUGUCACUUAUAGAUGGAUCCGCGCUGCAUUAGCUAGUUGGUAAGGUAACGGCUUACCAAGGCAACGAUGCAUAGCCGACCUGAGAGGGUGAUCGGCCACACUGGAACUGAGACACGGUCCAGACUCCUACGGGAGGCAGCAGUAGGGAAUCUUCCGCAAUGGGCGAAAGCCUGACGGAGCAACGCCGCGUCAGUGAUGAAGGUCUUCGGAUCGUAAAACUCUGUUAUUAGGGAAGAACAUAUGUGUAAGUAACUGUGCACAUCUUGACGGUACCUAAUCAGAAAGCCACAGCUAACUACGUG
rnacentral:rRNA from 1 species